AUCCUUUUGUAGUUCAUGAGCAUGAUGAUUGGGUGUUCACACACGUGUGAGAUGUGACACCCUUGAACCUUGUUACCGCAUGGGCACAUUGCCCAUCUGACA
ensembl:snoRNA